AUGAGUCAGUGUUGUGCCU
rnacentral:piRNA from 1 species